CACUGCAGCAGGCUGUGAGAAAGUGAAAAUGGAACUCGUGAGCAGAAAAAGUGUUGUUUGGCAGUAAUAUCAGUCAAAAGAAGGAGAUUCAAGUCAAGAUACAUUUUCAAUUUGCAAUGCCGAUUUGUCUCGUGGUGGCAAGGACCCUAAACAAUACACAACAUCGCCGCUGCUGUGGAUGUUGUUUACUUCAUUAAUGUGUUUACU